rnacentral:tRNA from 1 species
GGAGUUGUAGCUCAAUGGUAGAGUGCUUGCCUAGAAUGCAUGAGGCACUGGGUUCGAUCCCCAGCACCA